UAGGCUGUCCACGUCAGACAAAAAAAACAGCCAAUCAUGUUAUAACGUUUUGCCACGUCAUAACUGAUUUAGGAUAUUGGGCUUCAAAUAACUUCUGAUCUGUCAAAAUAAUCUUAACGGCCCAGCAAGCCCACCUAUGGAAAGCAUCGUAACCUUUGUCUCAACGACACGAAUCCUUCUUCCUCAUUUUCUCUGUAGAUCGUUCGUGAAACCCUUUCCUCUUCCUCUUCUUCGAUUCCGUUUCACGAUCUGAUUUACGAUCAAUCAAUACAGACUCCACUUCGGUUCUCCCUUUAAUUUCAUUUAUGGAUUCUCUUUUCUUCUCUCGCUCUGUUUUUCUUUAUAAAACUCUUAAUCCGAGUUUUGUUUCGAUCAAACUUGGUUGUCUCUUCUCAUUACUCUACUGCGAUGAGUUCCUACAGAGAAUCGACGAUCGGCAAAAGCGGUGUUUCUCCCGGCCUCAAGAUCGGCGAUCCCAACUCGAAGAAAGCAAAAGGCAAAGCGGCGGUCUCCUCUUCAAGUCCGACCAAACUCAUCGGCAAAACCAGUGUCUCUUCCGGCCUCUCCAUCGACAAUCCCCACUCGAAGAAACUCAAUGGCAAGUGAACCCGAAUCGUUUUCUUUAUUACAUUAUAUAAUGCAUAUAAAAUUACGUAAGCUCUAGAUUCAUCAUCCACCACAACAGCAGCAGACGAGGUAGCUGAGGAGAUCCGGCGGCUGAACGAUGUCCCGAUGCUUGCGAUCCCACCGGAAUUGCAGACCUGAGAGUUGUUAGAGAUGGAUAAGAUAAGUGUCGCUAACCUCUUGCUUCGUAAUGCCAUAGGAUUAUUGUUCUGUACUCUUCUCGCUUCUCGGGAUUAUGAAUUAAUGCGAUUGCAAGGAAGAGAUGGGUCUGCGGAAAUCUUUAACGAAUUGGCCCCAUGAAGAAGUGUGGAUAAGCUCCUUCUCGGCUCUCACUUCUCAGGUAUCUUAAUUAGCUCCGCGUCUUUCACAACCCAAGAAAUUGGAAAAGUUCAAUUGUUCAAUUCAACUUUAGAUAUUCUUUUUUCUAAAGUUUCAGUUCAAUUGUGGUUUAAGAGAUUGUUCUCUGCGAUGAAAUGCAACACUUCAACCAAAUCAAAUAGCACAUUCUUGAUUUGAACACAUGGGCGUCUAUAUGUUACUAUUGGAUGAUAAGGACUACAGGAGCCACUCAUCCAAGCCUCUAACACACAAAGUCCACGGGCUGAACACUUUCAGAGAAUUAGAGGAAGCAUUUUCAGAGAAUUAAGUGGAUUCGAUGUGGAUUUGCUAUGAAAAAAAAAAAGAUGUUGGAAGACAGAAGGUUCCCCAAAUUGCAUCUCAACUUUCAGCUCAGAGAAGUGAUAACCACCUGGUGAUGACAUGCCUGGAGCUGUAGCAGUGUCAACUAAGCCAUCUGAUAUGAUGCUCCAUCAUGCAUCUGAGAAAAAAAAAGCUACGAGUGAUAGUGGUUGGAUUGUUGAAGAGAGUGAUGCUGCUCCACCUCAAUCAACUGAUGCUACUGUUUUGGUUGGUUCUGAUUAAUCGGAAGGAUCCACCCACAGAGAAUGUGCCUGAAGGUAAGAAGCCACGCAUUGCAUAACUUUAGAGGCUAAGGAGGACCUAAGCUUAAAGUCGGUUACAUCGAGUCUAUCGUUUUUUCUUUCUUUUCCUCUGUUUUGAUCUUUUAAUUCUUAGAGAUUUUCCUCACAUGAAACCUUCUUCGGUGUUUUAAUUUAUCUUUGGUUUUAGUUUUCGUUCUGACUUGGAAACAAAGUUCGUCUAUUGUUUAUAAAAUAAAAUUUCCUUCAAAUA